AGAGUUUGAUCCUGGCUCAGGAUGAACGCUAGCGGCAGGCUUAACACAUGCAAGUCGAGGGGUAGAGCAGCAAUGCUUGAGACCGGCGCACGGGUGCGUAACGCGUAUGCAACCUACCUUUUACAGGGGAAUAGCCCAGAGAAAUUUGGAUUAAUGCCCCAUGGUAUAAUUGAAUGGCAUCAUUUAAUUAUUAAGGCUCCAACGGUAAAAGAUGGGCAUGCGUCCUAUUAGCUAGAUGGUAAGGUAACGGCUUACCAUGGCUACGAUAGGUAGGGGUCCUGAGAGGGAGAUCCCCCACACUGGUACUGAGACACGGACCAGACUCCUACGGGAGGCAGCAGUGAGGAAUAUUGGACAAUGGGCGCAAGCCUGAUCCAGCCAUGCCGCGUGCAGGAAGACGCAUCUAUGGUGUGUAAACUGCUUUUGUACAGGAAGAAACAUCCCGACGUGUCGGGACUUGACGGUACUGUAAGAAUAAGGAUCGGCUAACUCCGUGCCAGCAGCCGCGGUAAUACGGAGGAUCCAAGCGUUAUCCGGAAUCAUUGGGUUUAAAGGGUCCGUAGGCGGUUUAAUAAGUCAGUGGUGAAAUCUGGUCGCUCAACGAUCAAACGGCCAUUGAUACUGUUAGACUUGAAUUACUAGGAAGUAACUAGAAUAUGUAGUGUAGCGGUGAAAUGCUUAGAUAUUACAUGGAAUACCAAUUGCGAAGGCAGGUUACUACUAGUGGAUUGACGCUGAUGGACGAAAGCGUGGGGAGCGAACAGGAUUAGAUACCCUGGUAGUCG
rnacentral:rRNA from 1 species